AUUCUGUGGAAAAAUCUUUUUUAUUUCCCUUAAAAGUUUAACCCCAGAAGUGUGUGUAUACGUAUUUUGUUUUCUUAGUACCAGUAGCAGGGCCUUUUCAAAAAGAAGUGGUCACGAAAAAAAGUUUUACCAGGCCGUGUCCACCGAUGUUCCGAUUUGAAGAUUGCCAAAAGUCUGUUUCAGACCUUCAGCAGAAAUGUAAUGUAUUAAUUUGAAACUACUUCUAUUAAAAGGACAGACAAAAUGAACGGCCUUGCAGUCCAGCAGGUUAAAUAUCUAUAUUACGCAACAAAGAGAUUGAUUACAAUGGGAAGUAGAUUACCUUUGGUUGUGAUUUUGGGGUCCACCGGAUCGGGGAAGACCAAAUUGUCAUUGGAAUUGGCAAAAAAAUUUGGAGGGGAAGUAAUUGGGGCUGAUUCUAUGCAGAUAUACAAAGGUUUGGACAUAAUAACUGCAAAGGCUACCAAAGAUGAACAGCUUAUUGCACCACACCACAUGAUUGAUGUUUUGGAGCCCCACGAAACUUGUACAGUGGUUGAGUAUCGCAACAAUGUACUCAAAUUAAUUGAUGAGCUUUUAAAUGAAAAUAAAUUGCCUGUUGUGGUUGGAGGGACUAAUUAUUACAUUGAAGCACUACUUUGGAAAAUUCUAGUGGAGAGCGAGAAUGCUAAGAAACAUGAUCAACCUGGAGUUUUACCCAACAAUGACCAUGAAAUGCCUAGCGAAGAGUUGCACAAAAAGCUGAAAUCUUUGGACCCCAGUAUGGCCAAGAGAUUGCAUCCAAACAACAAACGAAAAAUUAUUAGGGCUCUUGAAGUUUAUUACCAAAAGGGAAAAAAAUUAAGCGAACUCUAUGAUGAACAAAAGUCGUCAUUUGGGGGUUCCAAAUCUGGCGGUGGUUUGAGAUAUUCCAAUGCUAUAGUGUUAUGGGUGAAUUGUGAUCAGGAGACUUUGGAUAAAAGGUUGGAUGAUCGGGUUGAUGCCAUGUUGAAGAAUGGACUUUUAGACGAGUUACUCAGUUUCCAUAAGAUUUUUAAUGAGCACAGGCUUAAGACGGGCGAGGAAAUGGACUAUACAAAAGGAAUAUUCCAGUCAAUUGGAUUCAAAGAGUUUCAUACCUACUUGAUGUUGAAGGAAGAUGAACGACAGACUCCUGAGGGUCAAAAGCAACUGGAACAAGGGGUUCAGCAGCUUAAGAUGGUGACAAGGCGUUAUGCAAAGAAGCAAAAAAGAUGGGUCAGAAACCGUUUUUUGGGAAGAAAAGAUAGACAGGUGCCGCCGGUUUACGAGCUUGACUCGACGGACGUGUCAAAAUGGAACGAAAACGUCACGGUGCCGGCUUUCGAAAUCGUGGAAAGUUAUAUCGCGGGUGUAAAGUGCGUUCGCGAGCCUCUUCCGGUGCGCGAGUUGGGCUCGACGCCCAAUAGCGAGGACGAGACCCAUUUCUGCGAGGCGUGCGAGCGGGUGUUCAUCGGCGAGCACCAGUGGCGGGGGCAUCUCAGAUCCCAGAAGCACAGGAGGAGGUUGAACGCGUUGGGAAAGGGGAAGGGGGUUGCCGCGUGACCCACGUUUGAAGGCCAGUUAUUCCCACCGGAGGGCGUCUCACCCAAAAGAGGAUACUCUGGACUUACACUCUCGUGCAAAUUUAUAUCCUGAGAGCAUAACAGCUUCAUCGCCUGAACGUUGUAGCAACUGUGUGGUCGUCUGAUGCCACCAACAUCCUCCAGUUUCUUCCCCACCGCUGACGUUGAGCUUGGUUAUGGCGUACUUGAAUUUGCGUUUCGCCUUGGCGUAAUUGUCUCGGAUCGCGAGUGGCACGUUCCAGAAAAGCUCAGCCACGUGCCCAACGCUGCGCAAAUGUCACGGGAAUGGCGAUAAAGCGACGCGAGCGGUUGCCAAGCGACGGCGUAAACAUCGCCCAUUCGGAGGCCUUCGCUACGUACUGUAAAGUCUGUUCAUAGAUAUAAGAAAGUGACUAACUGAUACGAAAUAAGGAAAGACCCGGGCAAGCUGUAAGAAUGAAAUAUGGCCGAACAGAAUUUGCCCAACUUUGUGGAGGGAUCUUAAAAACUACGGUUUCUAUAAAUUUGAGGACAUUGGAGUUAACACGGGGAAAAACAUUGUUACGACGAAUGGCAGAUUUCAGUUGGUGCCAAACAUGUUCAAUGGGAUUAAAUAUACAGUGGUUUUCGGACGCUCCUGACCAGGAUGGGAUGAUGAGGCAACGUCGCGGCGCCUGUUAUUGGCGUGACUACGUCCAUAAUAAAAAGCACAGUCAUCGAAAAAUGGGAAAAUUUCGCCGACAAAACGAUUGUAGGAAUACAAGAGAUGCAUAGAUAAAUGAUGAUUUCCAAGAAACGAGAAAACAAAUAGGGUGCUGCGUUUCAGAAUUAACAAAAAAAAUCGAAAAUAUCAUGGAAAGGAAUACCAAAUAGGUUGCUUAGAACAAGUUGCAAAAAAAUGACGAUUAUGAAUGUAUAUUGGAUAGGGUUAAUCGCAACAAAGUUGCUGAGGUCAGAUUACUGGCACAUAUCGCAACCAAUGACGAGGUUGGAGCCUGUUUAAAGAUUAUAACCGAUUUAAAUAUCAGUUUCUCGUAUCCAUUAAAGUAGAAAUGCUAUAAUUUCGGCUUUUUCGGAAGUGUCACAGAAACUUUUGUAUUUUCAAUUUGGUCAACUCGGCUUAGAACCCUAGAGAUGUCAUCGAAAAAAAAAAAGAGAGUAUUAUUCAAAACGAUAAGGUGCAAAAAAAUCGUAAUCAGAUUUUCAAGUUUGCUAAUAGAAUUUAAUCGACGAUCCUCUUAUUAUGCCCACAAAAUACAUGUGGAUUAUUCCGAAAAAUCCGCUUAAAUUUGUAACAUGUAAACGCAUUACAUACUGGGCGAUUCAGAAAACAUUCCCCUAAUUUAUAAGGUAAAUAAAAUAUUAACACAUGACGUUACCUUAGUUAAUAAGUAUGAGUGGGAAAAUGACACACGGCUCUGGAACGAACUUUUUAAGAAAUUUUUUAGAAAAAGUUUUUUGGACCCCUUUUACAUGUACCCCAUCACAUGCAUGCAUAUUCGGACACACGUAACACGAAAAAGCACCAUAUUUUACGCAAAGUUCAAAAUACGUUAAAAAAGAGCAUUCUAAUGGAAAGAAAUCCAAUUGGAGAGGGUAAAUAAAAACUCUAGCAAUUACAAAAAUAUAUUUUUUUAUCUUUAUUUAAACUUAUUAUCAUAAUAG